GAUGAACGCUGGCGGCGUGCUUAACACAUGCAAGUCGAACGGAAAGGCCCAAGCUUGCUUGGGUACUCGAGUGGCGAACGGGUGAGUAACACGUGGGUGAUCUGCCCUGCACUUCGGGAUAAGCCUGGGAAACUGGGUCUAAUACCGGAUAGGACCACUUCGUAGUUGUUGUGGUUGAAAGUGUUUUCGGUGUUGGAUGAGCUCGCGGCCUAUCAGCUUGUUGGGGUGGUAGUGGCCUACCAAGGCGUCGGCGGGUAGCCGGGCGGAGAGGGUGUACGGCAACAUUGGGACUGAGAGACGGAGAAGACUACGACGGGAGGCAGCAGUGGGGAAUAUAGCACAAUGGGCGGCAGCAUGCUGCAGCGACGCGGGGUGGAGGAUGACGGCCUUCGGGUUGUAAGCUCCUUUCGCCAAAGACGAAUGUAGGACGGUAUUUGGAGAAGAAGCACCGGCUAACUACGUG
rnacentral:rRNA from 1 species